GGAUGUGAGGGUGAUCUGUCUGGGACAUCUGUCACCCCAUUGAUCGCCAGGGUUCAUUCCGUGGAUCUGGUUGGCUAGGUAGGUGUUCCCUUCCUCCCUCACCGCUCUAUGUGAGUCCCUCCCAAAGCUGCGUGUUCAUGCUCGGUUGAAGAGGACGACCUUCUCCGAUAGAGGAGGACCGUUCUUUGGUCAAGGGUGUACAAGUAGCUGUGUUCCCCUGCUAGAACCUCCAAACAAGCUCUCAAGAUCCAUAAAGAGGCAGCAGGCAGGAUGUAGCUCAUGGGCCAUAGUUUGCCUAGAGAG
rnacentral:snRNA from 1 species